GAACCUUACCUAAGCUUGACAUCCCAAUGACAUCUCCUUAAUCGGAGAGUUCCCUUCGGGGACAUUGGUGACAGGUGGUGCAUGGUUGUCGUCAGCUCGUGUCGUGAGAUGUUGGGUUAAGUCCCGCAACGAGCGCAACCCUUGUCUUUAGUUGCCAUCAUUAAGUUGGGCACUCUAGAGAGACUGCCAGGGAUAACCUGGAGGAAGGUGGGGAUGACGUCAAAUCAUCAUGCCCCUUAUGCUUAGGGCUACACACGUGCUACAAUGGGUAGUACAGAGGGUUGCCAAGCCGUAAGGUGGAGCUAAUCCCUUAAAGCUACUCUCAGUUCGGAUUGUAGGCUGAAACUCGCCUACAUGAAGCUGGAGUUACUAGUAAUCGCAGAUCAGAAUGCUGCGGUGAAUGCGUUCCCGGGUCUUGUACACACCGCCCGUCACACCACGGGAGUUGGAGACGCCCGAAGCCGAUUAUCUAACCUUUUGGAAGAAGUCGUCGAAGGUGGAAUCAAUAACUGGGGUGAAGUCGUAACAAGGUAGCCGUAUCGGAAGGUGCGGCUGGAUCACCUCCUUUCUAAGGA
rnacentral:rRNA from 1 species